GAGUGGCGAACGGGUGAGUAAAGCAUCGGAACGUGCCCGAUCGUGGGGGAUAACGCAGCGAAAGCUGCGCUAAUACCGCAUAAGAUCUACGGAUGAAAGCGGGGGACUCGCAAGAGCCUCGCGCGAACGGAGCGGCCGAUGUCAGAUUAGGUAGUUGGUGGGGUAAAGGCCCACCAAGCCGACGAUCUGUAGCUGGUCUGAGAGGACGACCAGCCACACUGGGACUGAGACACGGCCCAGACUCCUACGGGAGGCAGCAGUGGGGAAUUUUGGACAAUGGGCGCAAGCCUGAUCCAGCCAUGCCGCGUGCAGGAAGAAGGCCUUCGGGUUGUAAACUGCUUUUGUACGGAGCGAAAAGGCCCCUACUAACACUGGGGGUCCAUGACGGUACCGUAAGAAUAAGCACCGGCUAACUACGUGCCAGCAGCCGCGGUAAUACGUAGGGUGCAAGCGUUAAUCGGAAUUACUGGGCGUAAAGCGUGCGCAGGCGGUUUUGUAAGACAGAGGUGAAAUCCCCGGGCUCAACCUGGGAACUGCCUUUGUGACUGCAAAGCUGGAGUGCGGCAGAGGGGGAUGGAAUUCCGCGUGUAUCAGUGA
rnacentral:rRNA from 1 species